UACGUAGGGGGCAAGCGUUGUCCGGAUUUAUUGGGCGUAAAGAGCGUGUAGGCGGCCAUACAGGUCCGUUGUGAAAACUCGAGGCUUAACCUCGAGACGUCGAUGGAAACCGUAUGGCUAGAGUCCGGAAGAGGAGAGUGGAAUUCCUGGUGUAGCGGUGAAAUGCGCAGAUAUCAGGAAGAACACCCGUGGCGAAGGCGGCGUCCUGGACCAACACUGACACUGAUGAGCGAAAGCCAGGGGAGCAAACAGG
rnacentral:rRNA from 1 species